rnacentral:rRNA from 1 species
CUUGCUUCUCUUGAGAGCGGCGGACGGGUGAGUAAUGCCUAGGAAUCUGCCUGGUAGUGGGGGAUAACGUUCGGAAACGGACGCUAAUACCGCAUACGUCCUACGGGAGAAAGCAGGGGACCUUCGGGCCUUGCGCUAUCAGAUGAGCCUAGGUCGGAUUAGCUAGUUGGUGGGGUAAUGGCUCACCAAGGCUACGAUCCGUAACUGGUCUGAGAGGAUGAUCAGUCACACUGGAACUGAGACACGGUCCAGACUCCUACGGGAGGCAGCAGUGGGGAAUAUUGGACAAUGGGCGAAAGCCUGAUCCAGCCAUGCCGCGUGUGUGAAGAAGGUCUUCGGAUUGUAAAGCACUUUAAGUUGGGAGGAAGGGUUGUAGAUUAAUACUCUGCAAUUUUGACGUUACCGACAGAAUAAGCACCGGCUAACUCUGUGCCAGCAGCCGCGGUAAUACAGAGGGUGCAAGCGUUAAUCGGAAUUACUGGGCGUAAAGCGCGCGUAGGUGGUUUGUUAAGUUGGAUGUGAAAUCCCCGGGCUCAACCUGGGAACUGCAUUCAAAACUGACUGACUAGAGUAUGGUAGAGGGUGGUGGAAUUUCCUGUGUAGCGGUGAAAUGCGUA